GACCCGUCUUGAAACACGGACCAAGGAGUCUAACACACAUGCAAGUUUUUGAGUGAUUAAACUCGUAAACGAAUUUAAAGAGAAUUAUUGAUGCGAAAGAAAAACUGGCAGCAUCGGUCGUCCCUAAUUUAUAUUAAGGGUAUGAACAAGAGCAUGUUUGUUAGGACCCGAAAGAUGGUGAACUAUGCUUGGGUAGGGUGAAGCCAGGGGAAACUCUGGUGGAGGCUCGAAGCGAUACUGACGUGCAAAUCGUUCGUCAAACUUGAGUAUAGGGGCGAAAGACUAAUCGAACCAUCUAGUAGCUGGUUCCUUCCGA
rnacentral:rRNA from 1 species